rnacentral:lncRNA from 1 species
GGUUAGGCCUCACCAAAGAAGAAAUUGAUUUGCACUCUUGAAGAGUCUCAUGUAUAAGAAUGAGACUUUGAGAUCCCUCUUCAGUUAGUCAUUAUUGCAUGAUUUCUCAUCUUUUGGAGAUGGGUAGAAAUAUAUCUCUCCUACUCCUAGCCUUGAAUCUUGGAGUCCUUGGCUUUUCAAGCAUUCCAAAGCAAUCAGUAGUGAUUUAUAAAACAAUUAGAUUUAUGAAAGAUACAGUACAUAAUUCAGGAAGUACCGAACUAUGUAGCUGCAGAAUAACCCAUUGACUUUACAGGUGAGCAAGUAGAAUCUACUUACUACUUAUACAGUUCCUUAAAAGAUUUCCCUAAGUGACAGUCAAGAACAUAAAACAUUAUUGUUCAUAUUAUAAUCUAGUGAAGUCUUU